GAGUUUGAUCCUGGCUCAGGAUGAACGCUAGCUACAGGCUUAACACAUGCAAGUCGCGGGGCAUCGCGGUGAGUAGCAAUACUUUCUGGCGGCGACCGGCGGAUGGGUGAGUAACGCGUAUCCAACCUGGCCCUAUCUCGGGGACAGCCCCUCGAAAGAGGGAUUAAUACCCGAUGUUCCCUGGUUUCCGCAUGUUUACCAGGGCAAAGGCUUUUGUCGGAUAGGGAUGGGGAUGCGUUCCAUUAGGCAGUCGGCGGGGUAACGGCCCACCGAGCCUACGAUGGAUAGGGGUUCUGAGAGGAAGGCCCCCCACACUGGGACUGAGACACGGCCCAGACUCCUACGGGAGGCAGCAGUGAGGAAUAUUGGUCAAUGGCGGCAACGCUGAACCAGCCAAGUAGCGUGAGGGAUUACUGCCCUAUGGGUUUUAAACCUCUUUUGUUGGGGAGCAACCGGUGCCACUUGUGGCACCCUGCGAGUACCCUUCGAAUAAGCAUCGGCUAACUCCGUGCCAGCAGCCGCGGUAAUACGGAGGAUGCGAGCGUUAUCCGGAUUUAUUGGGUUUAAAGGGAGCGCGGACCGGAGAUUAAGUCAGCUGUUAAAUGGCGGCGCCCAACGUCGUCCUGCGGUUGAUACUGGUUUCCUUGAGUGCGGUAUGGGCAUGCGGAAUUCACGGUGUAGCGGUGAAAUGCUUAGAUAUCGUGAAGAACUCCGAUCGCGAAGGCAGCGUGCCGGACCGUUACUGACGUUUAGGCUCGAAAGUGCGGGUAUCAAACAGGAUUAGAUACCCUGGUAGUCCGCACAGUAAACGAUGGACACUCGCUGUCGGCGACAGACUGUCGGCGGCCAAGCGAAAGCGUUAAGUGUCCCACCUGGGGAGUACGCCGGCAACGGUGAAACUCAAAGGAAUUGACGGGGGCCGCACAAGCGGAGGAACAUGUGGUUUAAUUCGAUGAUACGCGAGGAACCUUACCCGGGCUUGGACUGCGCAGGUAUGUUGGGAGACCCAUCAGUCAGCAAUGACCUGCGUGGAGGUGCUGCAUGGGUGUCGUCAGCUCGUGCC
rnacentral:rRNA from 1 species